UUCAGUGUCACAUGAUCCUUCAGAAAUCAUUCUAAUAUGAUGAUCUGCUGCUCAAGAAACAUUUCUUAUUAUUAUCAAUGUUGAAAAUGGUUGUGCUAUUUAAUAGUUUUGUGAAAACCGUGAUACACUUUAACCAUUAUUCUUUGAUGAACAGCAUUUAUUUGAAAUAGAAUAUUUUGUAACAUUAUAAAUGUCUUUAUUGUCAUGUUAAUGCAUAAUGCUGAAUAAAAGCAUUCAUUUCUUUUAAAAAAUGGUAACACUUUACUAUUAGGUUCCAUUUGUUCACAUUGGUUAUUAGUUGAAUUAAAAACGAAAAACUUGUCUUAAGCAUUUAUUAACCUUAGUUAAUGUUAAUUUCAACAUUUACUAAUACAUUACUAAAAUCAAAAGUUGUACCUGCUAAUAUUUUAAUGGACCUGAACUAAUAUUUAUCAACAAACGUUACAAAGAUUCAUAAAUACUGUAACAAAUGUAUUGCUCAUUGUUAGUUAACAUUAGGUAAUGCAUUUACUUGCAUUAACUAAUGGAACAUUAUUUUAAAGUGAGAAAAGGUCUUUGCCCCAUCUGAAUUUUGUAUGUGGUCGGGAUGUGAUCGUAUUUUGAGUGUGGGGGUAAAAAAAAAAAAAAAGUUUUGGUAGGUCUUUCAUUGUCUUGGGUGUUCAAGGUGUCAAUGACGUAAUCUUUGAGUGGAAAAAGCCUACACACGACACUGAGCUGAAGAGAAGUGGAACUUCCUCCAGAGAGGAGCCAGAAGGGGGCGAUCGGGCUGCCAUCCAUCAACCGGCACACGAGGCAGAGCCAGUGAACACACUCUUUGAGAAGGACAUGCUUUUAGCGCUGCUGCACUUACCACCCACUCCGGUGACCUUCUAUGCCAACAUCAGUUGAGAACACAGCCAAUAAAAGGCCUGUGAUGAGCUUUGAGACAGAGUUUAGCGUUUGAAUGGAACCAUGAGGACAGUGAGCAGGAGAGCCUUUAUUGCAUGAAGAUGUCAGAUGAUGUACUGCUGGUGACUGCGUCAUUAAACUCUAAAUGGAUACUGAAGUUAUGAGAUAAGCAUCAUGGGAUACUGUGGAAGUGAAAUUACUGUGUGUGUAUUUCAACGAAGAUAAAAUGGAAUGAAUAUGAGAUUAACUCUCAUUGUCUGUUGCAUAUACACAUUAAUGAAGGCUGAGGUGUGUAUAGUGCAUGUAAAACAGUUUAGGUGGCUAUAAAAACUCCAUAUACAUACAUUCAUUUAAAAAAAAAAACUGUUCAAGAAUGAAUGGAAAUUAUAUUAAUACAUGCAUAUAUUUCUAUAA